AUGCCUCAUUCACCUUGUGGCGAAGAUCUUUGCGAAGGUGCUAUCGCUCCGCCUCGCGCCCCGUCUGAGAGACAUGGUCAGCCGCAACCAGAACGCUUUCAUCCCGGGACGGAGCCUGCACGACAACUUUGUCCUCGUCAAGCAAUCGAUGAGGCUGCUGCACCAACUUGGGGCCCCGAGGGUGAUGCUGAAGCUAGACCUAACGCGCGCCUUUGA
rnacentral:rRNA from 1 species